UGUAUCUUAAAUUUGCAUUUUCUUCUGAUAUUCAUGUUUUUAUUGUUCCUUCAUUGAUCUUCGGCAUUUAGAUAUUCCCUUGCUUCUGAUUGCUUUCUCUAGUAGUUCAAUGAUAGUUUGCAAUUUUUGUGCUCUGAGAUAUAUUUGCUCUUUUGCAAGAGAGUAUUUCUUCACAGGAAAAUGUAUGAAAUUGAUGUUAGAGUUACUGUGUUGCCUAAGUUGUGAAUUUCGUUCUUUUUAAAAAAUUUGGGAUUUCCACCUGCAAACUGAAACUUGGAACCCUUCUGAGAAAACCCCUAGAGUAAUAGUUAUGAGUUUAAGAAUCUUGCGUCAAACCCAAUAAGUGGAGGAGGAGACCAUCCAAAGGGAGUCUUUCCAAAUAAGACUAGAGUAAGCCCAGAUGCUAUUCUUCUUAACCACAAUUUUCCAAAUCAGUUUGAGGAUGCCAGCAGAAUUGGCCUUUUUGAUCAUUUUCAAACCAAGACCACCCUUCUUAAGGAGGCAAACAGCAGCCCAACUAGUUGGGUGAAGAAAUUUGACUGCUUCAGCCCCUUUCCAAAGAAAAGCACACAGAAGAGAUUCCAUAGCCUCGAUAGUUGAUUGAGGCAGCCCAAAAACUCCGGACCAAUAUAUGUAAGAAGAUUUAAGGUACAGAUCUAAUUAGCUCUAUCUGCCCUCCAUAAUAGAGGAACUUGCGUUUCCAAAGUCGAAGGCUCUUACGAAUAACAUCCGACAUCGGGUGCAAUGGUGAGCGGUCAUUCUAGUAGUGAUCAGUGGCAGCCCCAAAUACUUGACUAGAAGGCAGUCAAGGGAAAAAUCUGUCAUCUCAAGAAAAUAAGCCUUGGUUGCAUUAGAGAACCCUGCGAGGAAUAGGUGGUAUUUGAGAAGGUUGAUCCAAAGACUUGACAUUCAACAUAUUUAGUCCAAUGGAUAAUAAGUUUUGAGACAUGAGACUGUUGAUAGGAAACUAAUUGUCUUGAAGCAAAGUGAGUGGCAAUGCUGAUUGGAAUUCACUAUCCUGGUCCAUCUGGUAUUUUUAUGGUUCUUCAAACGAGAUGGCUUUGCUGGUCUCUGAACUUUGGAAGAUGAUGGUGGGAUUCAAUUAGAAUUCGGGGACAUUGAGAUCAACCAUGAAGAAUACAAGAGAAAUCUUAACGAUUGGAACCAAUUUCAGAAGACAUGUUUCUAUUUUGACACUUACAGGCUAGAGAGGAUGCAAUUAAACAUACCAUAUGAAAUCUAGGUGUCCUACCACUGAUCUGUUGUUCUUUGCCACCUUUUUAAUCGUCCCUAUUUUAGCUUCUGGGCAGUCUACUCUAAAUUAUCAACACAGAGUAAAGGAAGAAAAUGAGAAUCCAGAUUGAGAAAGAUUUUUAUUCAAUAAGCAUCUGUAGCUUUUAUAUUUGUCAUCACAAGCAUUGAUUCUGCAUUGUUGAACUAUCUUGCUUCUUCACCAUUUUUGUUGUAUAGCUUUUCUUCAUAGUUUUAGUGAAAUUUAUUUGCUGUUGCCUACCACCCAAAAAAGAAACAAAGAAAAUGAUGUCUUGCUGCAUUAGUCUGUUCAUAUUUGGUCGAAGUUGUUACAAUUUCCAGUGCCCUUCUCCCUUGUCAGAAACUAAAUCAUGCUGAUAUUUACUUAAUCCGCAAAA